GAAAUGCGAUAAGUAGUGUGAAUUGCAGAAUUUAGUGAAUCAUCGAAUCUUUGAACGCACAUUGCGCCCUUUAGUAUUCCUUAGGGCAUGCCUGUUUGAGCGUUAUUUAACCCCUCAAGCUUAGCUUGGUGUUGGGCGUCCUGUCCCCUCCACCCCCCGCAAUGGGGGGCGGGGACUCGCCUCAAAUUGAUUGGCGGCUGGUACGUUGGCUUCGAGCGCAGCAGAAACGCGAACUCGGGGCCUGGCGAGCCGGCUCCUACAAGCCACACAUCUAACUUUUGACCUUGGAUCAGGUAGGGAUACCCGCUAAACUUAA
rnacentral:misc_RNA from 1 species